rnacentral:rRNA from 1 species
UACGUAGGGAGCAAGCGUUGUCCGGAAUCAUUGGGCGUAAAGCGCGCGUAGGUGGCUUCGUAAGUCCGUUGUGAAAGUCAAAGGCUCAACCUUUGAAAGCCGAUGGAUACUGCGGAGCUAGAGUACGGAAGAGGCGGGUGGAAUUCCUGGUGUAGCGGUGGAAUGCGCAGAUAUCAGGAGGAACACCAAUAGCGAAGGCAGCUCGCUGGGACGUUACUGACACUGAGGCGCGAAAGCGUGGGGAGCGAACAGG